CCAGGGAGACACUGGGCGGAGGAGGACUGAGGCCUCAGGACUCACAGUCCAGUGCUCGAGUCCGCGGCGGGCGCUGUCGGCAGGAGGGGCUUGGCGGAGCGCCCAGGCCGGCGGGGGGGGAGGGCGCCCCGCGCCGGAUGCUCUCCCUGCCCCUGUCGGAGCUGCUCAGCGGCGGAUUCCGGAACCACCGGCUGGCCGGAGCAGGAAGGCGCAACAAUGGGGAGUCGACAGCGCCAGGGAGCCGGGUUCCGGAGCCAGGGUGCGGCCCGCCCCGCCCCCAACACGGUGAGACCCGGGUCCCUGGUCCGGGGACCAACGAGAUUAUCGAGAUUAUGAGAUUAACGGAUGCCACUGUUUGAGCCCUUACUGUUGGGACCUGCCUCAACCGCCUUACCUGGCUUAUCUUGUGGGAGCCUCACCUCACCCCUGUGAUUUAGCCCUAGUUUACAGAUAUGCCCAAGUCUGGUCAAGGCCUCCAUCAUCUCUGGCCCAAACGACCCCAAGAGCUGGCUCACCGGGGUGCUACUUCCACACCUGCCCUCAUUUCAGUUAUCUGCUGGUAGGAAAUAAACUACUUCAAGACCAA